rnacentral:tRNA from 1 species
GAUGCCAAGAUGGUAUCUAGUAAUCCCUAAGGACA